UACGAAGGGGGCUAGCGUUGUUCGGAAUUACUGGGCGUAAAGCGCACGUAGGCGGAUUGUUAAGUCAGGGGUGAAAUCCCGAGGCUCAACCUCGGAACUGCCUUUGAUACUGGCAAUCUCGAGUCCGGAAGAGGUGAGUGGAAUUCCUAGUGUAGAGGUGAAAUUCGUAGAUAUUAGGAAGAACACCAGUGGCGAAGGCGGCUCACUGGUCCGGUACUGACGCUGAGGUGCGAAAGCGUGGGGAGCAAACAGG
rnacentral:rRNA from 1 species